rnacentral:lncRNA from 1 species
GUUUCUUCCAUCAGCCCAUGUGAGUCAUGGCUUUCGUGCAAGCUGGCUUCAGGACCUGUACCCACGAGGUAAAAAAAACAUCGAGUGGGGACAGCAGGUGGGAGCUUUCUAAGCCAGACAAAGGAGACCUGAGAAGGAACUGUGGUGAAGGGACAAGCCCAAGGCAAAGGACUGUCCGGCCACCUCCUCUCCUGGAGCAGGCAGCUGAGAUCUGCAUAGCCAGGAGACAUUUUGCAAGACUCAACACCUGGAGCAGUGCUAACCAGGCAAGGACGAGCUCUGUUGCUAUCAGGAUUUUGAUCUCUCUCUCUCUUUCUCUCUUUCUCUGUCUGUGCAUUUGUGUAGUUUUGUUGUGUUCGGUCAGGGAAACGAGCACCUGGUAAGUGGGGCAGGAAGGAGCAGCAGAGGAGUGAAGAUCAGUGCUUUUUGCUUUAAAUGGUACGGAAAGAAAAACACCUGUAGGGAGAUUUGGGGGGGUUGGGGUUGUUUGCUGUGUAGAAUAUAGGAUCUCUUUAAAACAGCUGUGUUUUGGGGAGGGAGAAGUCUCAGCUUUCAGUAUAUCCCACUCUGCUUGGUCUCUGUAUCCUUCCUGGGGCUACGCAGAGGGCUGGGUGCAGCCGCCUGCUGCAGAGCAUCCAACCUCCGUGGCUGGCAGGGGGACGUGGGGAGCAAGCUGUCGGCGCAUGGCGAGCUGCUGUAUGGUGCUGCCUUAUAAAAAUAAAUGGCACAGCGUGUCUCGGUCA